rnacentral:rRNA from 1 species
GCUUAACACAUGCAAGUCGAACGAGAAAGUACCUUCGGGUGCGAGUAGAGUGGCGCACGGGUGAGUAACACGUAGGUAAUCUGCCUUUUGGUGGGGGAUAACCAGGAGAAAUCCUGGCUAAUACCGCAUAAGUUGGUAACAAGAAAGGAUGCUCCGGCAUUCGCCGAAAGAUGAGCCUGCGGAACAUUAGCUUGAUGGUGGGGUAACGGCCUACCAUGGCUUCGAUGUUUAGCUGGUCUGAGAGGAUGAUCAGCCACAUCGGGACUGAGACACGGCCCGAACUCCUACGGGAGGCAGCAGUGGGGAAU